CAGCCGCCGCGGGAAUACGUAUGUCACGAGCGUUAUCCGGAUUUAUUGGGCGUAAAGCGCAUCUAGGUGGUUAUAUAAGUCUGAUGUGAAAAUGCAGGGCUCAACUCUGUAUUGCGUUGGAGACUGUAUAACUAGAGUACUGAAGAGGUAAGCGGAACUACAAGUGUAGAGGUGAAAUUCGUAGAUAUUUGUAGGAAUGCCGAUGGGGAAGCCAGCUUACUGGACAGAUACUGACGCUGAAGCGCGAAAGCGUGGGUAGCAAACAGGAUUAGAUACCCCAGUAGUCCCUGUCUCUUAUACA
rnacentral:rRNA from 1 species